GAGUUUGAUCCUGGCUCAGAUUGAACGCUGGCGGCAUGCCUUACACAUGCAAGUCGAACGGCAGCGCGGGAGCAAUCCUGGCGGCGAGUGGCGAACGGGUGAGUAAUACAUCGGAACGUGCCCAAUCGUGGGGGAUAACGCAGCGAAAGCUGUGCUAAUACCGCAUAAGAUCUACGGAUGAAAGCAGGGGAUCGCAAGACCUUGCGCGAAUGGAGCGGCCGAUGGCAGAUUAGGUAGUUGGUGGGGUAAAGGCUCACCAAGCCAACGAUCUGUAGCUGGUCUGAGAGGACGACCAGCCACACUGGGACUGAGACACGGCCCAGACUCCUACGGGAGGCAGCAGUGGGGAAUUUUGGACAAUGGGCGCAANCNUGAUCCAGCCAUGCCGCGUGCAGGAUGAAGGCCUUCGGGUUGUAAACUGCUUUUGUACGGAACGAAAAGGUUCUUUCUAAUAAAGAGAGCCCAUGACGGUACCGUAAGAAUAAGCACCGGC
rnacentral:rRNA from 1 species